rnacentral:lncRNA from 1 species
GCUAAUCUGGGAAUUCCGGAUACAGAAGGCUCCUCCUGGCCAAGUGGACUGUGGCUUUGGAGCCAGGAGACCCUGCUACUCACUAAAUGAACUUUUCUCAGGAAUCCA